UGAAUUUUGAUUGCAUGACCUUGGGGAUGCUGCAGUGGUUCCUGAUGCCCUCCAGUUGUAUUGGACUUCAGUACCCAGAAUUCUUGGUCAACAGAUCUAAAGACUGCCAGGUUAUUGAAGAGAAAAUUAGAGAGAGUUGUUGCUGCAGAAGAUGGACUUACAAGACCUCAAGGAGAAAAAUGACGAUAGCCUAAAUACAGGCAUCAAAAUACUUCAGGAUAUCUCUGCAAUCACUGUUUCUUCCUUCUUUCUACAAUCCAGCUCUUAUAUGGACCAAGUUAUUCCUCUGUUCUUUGUCAGACAAAACAGGAUUUCAAUAUUUUCAAAAUUAGUGAGCACUUUCAAAGGCAUACUAAUAAAAGAACUACAAUAUAAAUUUUCUAAACAAAUAAAUAAAAUGUCCCCUCUCUUUACCUCCAAAACAUCUGAACAACAUUCUUGUCCCUUAAUAAUAAUAAUAACAACAGAGUUGGAAGGGACCUUGGAGGCCUUCUAGUCCAACCCCCUGCCCAGGCAGGAAAAUCCUACACCAUCUCAGAGAGAUGGUUCUCCAACAUUUUCCUAAAAAUUUCCAGUGUUGGAGCACUCACAACUUCUGCAGGCAAGUCGUUCCACUUAUUAAUUGUUCUAACUGUCAGGAAAUUUCUCCUUAGUUCUAAGUUGCUUCUUUCCUUGAUCAGUUUCCACCCUUCUUGUCCUGCUUUCAGGUGCUUUGGAGAACAGCCCGACUCCCUCUUCUUUGUGGCAGCCCCUGAGAUAUUGGAACACUGCUAUCAUGUCUCCCCUAGUCCUUCUUUUUAUUAAACUAGACAGCAAGGUGAUCCAUUGUUGGUUUAGUGUGCUUUUUCCCUGAUACUUUUUCAAAGGCUUUUAUUAUAGUUUAUGUAUAACAGCCAGUAUAGAAAAUUGUAUAAAUAAGUUGUUCCACCUUAAUCCAAGAUGCUAUAUUGAACACAACUUCUGAAGACCGUUUUUGCUACUGAGACCCAUUGUGGUAAUGAGAACUGACAACAUCGAAGAUUCCUUUGAUUUCCCCAAAAGUUGUUCUUAAAUCAAAUUAAAUAUAUCCCCCUAAUCAGCCUGUAUCUUUCCCACAUAACUGAGAAUAAAUAAAACUAGAUUAUAGAUACUUGGAUGAACCCUGCACUGCACAUCUCAUUGAAUAAGAGUUCUAUUAAAACUACAAGCUCUUAAGUUAACAAACGUGUUACUAUGGUGAUAGAGUAUGCUUGUAAAAAACUAUAGGCAUUCAUAUUCAUAGAAACUUCUGAAGCAAGACCAAAUGUUGGAUGCAACACCUGCACUCUUGCCAAGUUUGAACUAACACAUAAAUUAUGGUAGAAAUAAAUGGGUGUGACUAAUAUAAGCACAGCACACUAAAGGAGAAAGGAGGGGCAGGGGGAAAAUGUAGCAUAUGCCUUGAAGGCAAUAUUCAGAGUUUGCAGGAGAUGGGCAUUUUGAAGAGCAUAUUUUUCCCCCCUGUUCACCUUUAUACUCCAUAACCGCAUCGCACAUUUCUCCCCCAUAAAUUGCACAACUGCUAGUUAAUUAUAUUGCUGCAACCUGGGGAACAAGUGUUGUAACACUUUGUUUCUUUGUAAUAUUGGGAACAUUAAGUUUCACUGGAGCAGGAAAUUUGGUUCCCUUUCGCUCAUAGGGAACUCAAUUGCAAAUCGCCCCUUUCAGAAAUGUUGCCAGUAUGGGUCAGAAGCACUAUUCCA